rfam:Loxodonta africana unplaced genomic scaffold scaffold_108, whole genome shotgun sequence.
CCAAAGGCCCUUUUAAGGGCCACCCACAAAAUCUGUUAAGGAGCCG